rnacentral:rRNA from 1 species
UAGGGAAUCUUCCACAAUGGACGAAAGUCUGAUGGAGCAACGCCGCGUGAGUGAAGAAGGUUUUCGGAUCGUAAAGCUCUGUUGUUGGUGAAGAAGGAUAGAGGCAGUAACUGGUCUUUAUUUGACGGUAAUCAACCAGAAAGUCACGGCUAACUACGUGCCAGCAGCCGCGGUAAUACGUAGGUGGCAAGCGUUGUCCGGAUUUAUUGGGCGUAAAGCGAGCGCAGGCGGAAUGAUAAGUCUGAUGUGAAAGCCCACGGCUCAACCGUGGAACUGCAUCGGAAACUGUCAUUCUUGAGUGCAGAAGAGGAGAGUGGAACUCCAUGUGUAGCGGUGGAAUGCGUAGAUAUAUGGAAGAACACCAGUGCNNAAGGCGGCUCUCUGGUCUGCAACUGACGCUGAGGCUNAGAAAGCAUGGGGU